CCUACGGGAGGUAGCAGUGAGGAAUAUUGGUCAAUGGACGAGAGUCUGAACCAGCCAAGUAGCGUGAAGGAUGACUGCCCUAUGGGUUGUAAACUUCUUUUAUAUGGGAAUAAAAUGUUCCACGUGUGGGAUUUUGUAUGUACCAUAUGAAUAAGGAUCGGCUAACUCCGUGCCAGCAGCCGCGGUAAUACGGAGGAUCCGAGCGUUAUCCGGAUUUAUUGGGUUUAAAGGGAGCGUAGGUGGAUUGUUAAGUCAGUUGUGAAAGUUUGCGGCUCAACCGUAAAAUUGCAGUUGAAACUGGCAGUCUUGAGUACAGUAGAGGUGAGCGGAAUUCGUGGUGUAGCGGUGAAAUGCUUAGAUAUCACGAAGAACUCCGAUUGCGAAGGCAGUUCACUGGACUGCAACUGACACUGAGGCUCGAAAGUGUGGGUAUCAAACAGGAUUAGAUACCCCUGUAGUC
rnacentral:rRNA from 1 species